rnacentral:rRNA from 1 species
GGAUUCCCCUAGUAACUGCGAGUGAAGCGGGAAGAGCUCAAAUUUAAAAUCUGGCGUGCCUCUGGUCGUCCGAGUUGUAGUCUGGAGAAGCGUUUUCCGUGUUGGACCGUGUAUAAGUCUCUUGGAACAGGGCGUCAUAGAGGGUGAGAAUCCCGUCUUUGACACGGACUACCAAUGCUUUGUGAUGCGCUCUCAAAGAGUCGAGUUGUUUGGGAAUGCAGCUCAAAAUGGGUGGUAAAUUCCAUCUAAAGCUAAAUAUAGGCGAGAGACCGAUAGCGAACAAGUACCGUGAGGGAAAGAUGAAAAGCACUUUGGAAAGAGAGUUAAACAGUACGUGAAAUUGCUGAAAGGGAAACGCUUGAAGUCAGUCACGUCUGCCAGGACUCAGCCUUGCUUCUGCUUGGUGUACUUUCUGGUUUGAUGGGCCAACAUCAAUUUUGACCGUUGGAGAAAGGCUUUGGGAAUGUGGCACCUUUGGGUGUGUUAUAGCCCUUUGUCGUAUACAGCGGUUGGGAUUGAGGACUGCAGCACGCCUUCACGGCCGGGGUUCGCCCACGUACGUGCUUGGGAUGUUGGCAUAAUGGCUUUAAGCGACCCGUCUUGAAACACGGACCAAGGAGUCUAACAUGCCUGCGAGUGUUUGGGUGGAAAACCCAUGCGCGUAAUGAAAGUGACAGCUGAGAUCCUCUCAUCAGGAGCAUCAGCGCCUGGACUUGAUCUACGGAGACGGUUCUACGGUAGAGCAUGUAUGUUGGGACCCGAAAGAUGGUGAACUAUGCCUGAAUAGGGUGAAGCCAGAGGAAACUCUGGUGGAGGCUCGUAGCGAUUCUGACGUGCAAAUCGAUCGUCAAAUUUGGGUAUAGGGGCGAAAGACUAAUCGAACC